AUGCGUCGGAGCCCCCGCCCGCCCUCCGGCCCUUUUCCGCGCUCCUUCCCGGCCGGUCUGCAGGCUUCCGCAGACCGGGCCCGGGCCGCCCCCCGCUUUAUUAUUAGCUGCUCGCACACAGGGUUGCUUCGCCCCUCUGCUUCCAUCCCGGGAUUGUUCUGUAAUCCGAAGCGGCCGCGGCAGCGAGAGGAGGCAAGGGGGAGCAUGCACCGGCCGCGUGGCUUUGCAGCCGGAGCCUGGCCGGCUCCUGCUGCUCGGUCGGCUGCCAGUUGCUUGGGGUUUUUUUUUUUUCCCUUCUCCCCCCUCCCCCUCUUGCAGGCGGUGUGUUUCCAAAUCCCGAGCAGCUGCCGCUGCGGGAGAAGUGGGAGGGAAGGGAGGUCUCCCCGGGGUGGGGGGGUCUGCAGGAACCGACCAGCGAGCACGUGGGAUCGGUAGCCUCGGAUCGCAUUUUGGCCGGCUGACGGCCGCUCACCCAGUUCCUAGAGUCGGACUUUUUACAUGGCGAGAAGGAAUCGGGCUACCUUAGCAUCGGCCACCCGCUCCCACUGGGGUCUCUCUGCAUCUCAAAGAACAAAAGCCCCCCUGCACCCCCAAAACCUUGACAACCGCCCCUCCGACCACCCAUAGGUCAGUGAAUUGCCCCCACAGGGCGCUCAGUGAAGGCGAUUUCCACAGGGCCCGGGUCGGUGCAUUUUGAUCCCGAUUUCCCUCAUCAGAGCUGGAUCCCCUCCCCUGUGUCACCCCUUGCAUUUCUCCCUCCUUGCCUCCUCCCCUUCGGUUUUCAACAUGUCCACCGAGGCACAGUCUAAUCCCGCAAAUUCUGGGAGGGGUUUCCUGGCUGUUUUAAAACACUUGGCUCGCUCUCCACAAGACCGACAGGGCCGCCAGAUGAGGGAAAAAUAAAAGGAAAGAAAUAUAAAA